rnacentral:tRNA from 1 species
GGAAGGGUGACAGAGUGGUCGAAUGUGACGGUCUUGAAAACCGUUGAGGCGCAAAACGUCUCCGUGGGUUCGAAUCCCACCCCUUCCG